rnacentral:sRNA from 1 species
GAUAGCAUCUUUCUCACAAUGAAUAUGAUGGGUAGGUGGUAGAAAAAGGAAGUUGAGCUCAGGACUCCUAUGGGAUGCCUAUUUGACAUUCAACAGAAGAUUCUGAAGAUGCCAUUGGAUGUAUAAGAUGGCUGUUGCUGGUGUGAGAAAACACACUUUUUGGAGAGUAACUCUGAUAAUGCCAGAGGAAAUCCUCUUCUCCUACAAGCCCUCUAAUCCCUCCGUUGCUACAGUCCUGGUUCCAAUGUGUCCAAGGAGGAGGAACUCAUGUCAGAACACAGGCAGAAUAUGCUGAACUUGCUUCUAACAGCUGAGUUAGAAGGGGAGGUGAACUGCACUUCGAAACAGAACGACCCACCGAAUUUCUGUUUUAAGUUUGGUGUCUCUUAAAGGAUGAAAGACAAAAGAAAAUCACCUUGCUUACUGUACCCAAGUUUCAGCUGCCACAAACCACAGGUGAUUAUAAACUCUCAGGUCAAAUAUACAAAGCUUACUGGAAUGUCAUAAAUUGCAUGUGUAACUUUUCCAGGAGCCCCUGGCUAUGUCUGCAGCAGAGCUAAAAAUAAAGUUCCUGUCUCUUCCUGGGCAACUGCCGUGUUUGAAUCAAAGUCACAAUUGAAGUCCUUUCUCAGUCCUGAGCACUGUCUCACUUUGCUCCUUUUUUUCAGCUGUCUUCUCUAAUCUUCGUGCAGGCUCACUAACAAUUUCCAUUUCGCCCCAGACAUUUAAAACAGGUGGCACAAGAGAUAUUAUGUAUCCCAUUAUGACACAUACAUUUAUAUGAUUUAAUUUAGCAUAAACACUAUUAUUGUGCUUCUGACAUGCACAUGUAUGCACAUACAUAUUUUCUAUUUCUAUAUAUUUUUGUCUGCCUUAUAUAAAAGUUGUCUUUGUCCUAUGUUCUGAGUAGCUUUCAGUUAUUUAAGGUAAUCCUUAAAUUUUUCUGGGAAACAAAAUGUGCUUUAGGAUCAUUUCAGAAGAAUCGUGUUACCAAAGAAAACUCACCCUUUCAUAUUAUUAAAACAUGGAAUACUG